GCCUACGUGUUGGAAUUGGUAGACAAGUCAGCUUGAGGGGCUGGUGCAUGUAUUUGCGUGCUGGUUCGAAUCCAGUCGUGGGCA
rnacentral:tRNA from 1 species